UACGUAGGGUGCGAGCGUUAAUCGGAAUUACUGGGCGUAAAGCGUGCGCAGGCGGCUUUGCAAGACAGAGGUGAAAUCCCCGGGCUCAACCUGGGAACUGCCUUUGUGACUGCAAGGCUAGAGUACGGCAGAGGGGGAUGGAAUUCCGCGUGUAGCAGUGAAAUGCGUAGAUAUGCGGAGGAACACCGAUGGCGAAGGCAAUCCCCUGGGCCUGUACUGACGCUCAUGCACGAAAGCGUGGGGAGCAAACAGGAUUAGAUACCCUGGUAGUCAAGGGCG
rnacentral:rRNA from 1 species